rnacentral:pre_miRNA from 1 species
AACCCGUAGAUUCGAACUUGGGGGGGGCUGAAAUCCGAACACAAGGUCGCUUCUGUGGGUGUG